UGAUAAAUAAAAUGGUAGCUUAUUAAGUAUAGUUUUGCAAAUAAAAUCAAGACUGUGUUGUUCCCUACAUUUGGCAAGUGAAGGCCACCCUACAAUCUGCUAGAAGGUACAAUUAUGGGUCUGAUAACUGUCAACUGUAAUAAACCUUAGGGAACUGUGACAUAUAUAGCAUCGAGUGGCUUGAGAGUAUGUGUCGCAGCAAGCAUGUAAAUCACACACUCUUGCCCUGAUAAAAAUGUUGCCUGGACAAUCUACAAUCUAUAUGUGAAAGGAAAAUACUACUUUCGAUAACUCAUUAAGGUGAGUUUUAAUAGAUAUUUGUCAACAAGCCAGAUACCCAGAUAAUUAUAUUUUUGAAUUCUUUUAAUUUCAACCCCAGUUUUUAUAAUGAUAUUAAAAAUCAGGGGGUAUUUGAUUUGGGAUCUGGUGAAAAGCCUGUGAUUGGGUUUAUCUGGAUUUAAUACUAUUAAGUUUAGUAAAGGCAUCUUGUUUGACUAAAAAGUCUGACACUAACUCUGUCAGUGCUUUGUCAAUGGAUGGCGCUAAAGGGUAUAUGAGUGUUAUGGAAUGGAGCUAUUAAUGUUUGAUGCUCCUUGCUCAUUUUUCAUAAAGUAAGAACAGUAAAGGACCUUCACUUUGAGCUUCUGUUGGUGACUGUCACUUUUUGUUUUGUAUAUUUAAACACUGAUAGACUUCUCCAUUCAAGUAAGACAGCACCCAACAUUUCUUGUGAAUUUUGUAAAUAUUGUUAUUUUGUUGAGGUGUUGGCUCUCUCUUGUUUUUUUUUCCAUCUGUCACUUGGAAAUAAUGAAUUGAUUAUAUUUCAGUGAUCAAAGGUAGGUCAUGGACCUUAUAAUUUUCUGGAGGACAACAUUUUUAGGUAGAAAUUCCACUGGUUGGUCGAGGCAUACACCCGCACUGUGGUAUUUGGGGUUUUGGUAGUUUUGAGUUUUCAUUUGUCUCACUGAGGGUUAAGAGCAGAGUCUUUGACACAAUGUUCAGCCUUAAGUGAACAAAUUUGAUAUGGGAAUAUGUGUUAUACAAGUAAAAUGAUUGAUUGAUCUUCAUUAAAGGUAUAAGGACUACAGAGAACCUCCUUGGUCAGCCACUCCAUAUGAGAUCUCCAAGGAAUUCUGGGCGGUGCUGGCUGUGCGACUGGCUUUUGUCAUUGUUUUCCAGAAUGUUGUGCUGCUGAUGAAUGAUGUUGUGGACUGGCUAAUUCCAGACAUCCCUAAAGACAUCAGCCUUCAGAUCCACAAGGAGAAGAUUCUAUUGGUAGACCUCUUCAUGAAGGAAGAGCAGGGCAAGGUCCUUAUCCUUGAGAGCAGAUCUUCUACAGGAGGCAAGGAGAACUGCAGCGGUAGCAACAACAACAACUGCACAAUGGCCCACCCGCGCUCCGGACUCCAAAACAACAACACUAAGAGCUUCUAAUGCUUGUAAAAGUGAUUAAUGGUACAGUCUUAGUUAGCAAGUCAAAGCUUGCUAGAAGCCUACUUGCUUAGGCCAACCCUACUCUGUUUUUGUUCUUGUUCGGAACAUUCCUUCAUAUGGGAGAUUUGCUGGCUGAUGAGGUGUGAGGAAAUGGGGCCAAAUGUUUUGCAGUGUGUGUGGAGGGCUAUAGAACUGAAAACUACUUCGUGCAUAUACAUUUUUCAAAUUGUACAACAAUCUCUAAAUGUGUACACAAGUAUUUUAUUGCAAAAACUGUUUUUAUUGUUAACAUUAUUAGACAACAUAGCAUGUGGAGAUAUAAAUUAACAUAGAAGGGUAGUAAGGCAUACCAUUUCUGUUUUAACAGAUUUUAAUCAACCUCAAUCAAAGGCCAAUCCGAAUUAUUUGACGAGGUUGUUGAUGUUCAUACCCAUCAUGCUAGAAAAUACAUAUAAUAUAUAUCCAUCACAGGCCUGACACAAACAACCAAUUACACUCACAUACACAUUUCCAAAUAACCUGCAUUUCUUUGGAGUACUGGUAUUGUUAUGUGAGGAACUGUUAAAUGAGUGUUGAAAUGGAAUGGGUACUUCACCUCCAUCUCAGUAACACUUGUUACUUGACUGUUUUCUGAAAUGUUACUACACUCCUACUGUAUCUGAAAAUGUAAGGUUUUCUUAGACCUGGUAAAAGCUCAACACCUCUGGUACAAAGAAACAGGGCUUAGCCAGGUGUUCUCUACUUUCCAUCUGUCGAGGAACUGCCAGCUUGAUAGGAUUGUUAACCUUGUACCUGAAAUCAGUUUUUGACUAUCUAAAAAUGACUAAAGAAAAAUAGCAUCAACAGUGUUUCUUCUAACUAAAUCAGAUUUUUAUAACUUACUACAGUAGCUUCCCAUGCUUUGUAUUUUAUUGUUGAAGGAAAGAUAGCACUUUUCUGGUUUCUGUAAGCAGAUGUAUAUGGAACUUUAAAGCUUGAUUUAUUAUUAUUUUGAAAAUGCUAUACUGACUGUUAUGGAACUGGGAGCUAUGUAAGGAUAAGUAUAAUAACCUGCACUGGAGUAAUCUUAAUUUACUGCAUGUUGUGACCGUUUAUUUCUACGCCAGUGGUCAUCUCAGUUCCAUUUGUAACAGUAAGCCAUUUUUUACAGUGUGAAUCAGUCACUGUGUUCCUAUUGCCGGUUGUGAUGGGAUCACAAAGUAGCAUGCUGAAGCUAGUUGGACUAAAGAAAUCUGAUGAAUAAUGGGAAAUAAUACAUUUUCAUAAUAAAUAUAAUUUAGCAUUUGUA